UAUAAAUAUUGGACAAUGGGUUUCCAUGGGCUCCAAUAACACAUUUUUGAGGGUAAAUGGGAGGUGGCCACCACCGCCAUUUUGACCGUGUCACAGGUUCCGUCAAGCCCAGACAAUUCCACAAAAGGGAAGAGAGGUGGAGCUGAGGGUGGGGCUGUAAGGCUGGGAUCAACUGACGACACCCGGUCGAACUAGCUACAAGCUAACCUGAAGCUAACCCAAAGCUAACGCGGAGGUGGAAGCUAAGCUAACGGAGGUAGCAACCUAGCUACAACCGGAGUUAACUGUGCACAACACCAGAGCUUCUGAGUCAGAGAUACGCCGGGCUGACCGCUGGGUAAAACCGGGUGGAACACAGAGGUCUCCCGAGCAGUGGCGGCUGGCCAGUAGAGGGCGAUAGGGCGCCGUCCUCCCAGUUUUUCCGUGUUUUUAAUUUUUAUUUAAAAAAAAAAUAAAUAAAAUUAACAAUAAUCACAUAUUCUAAGUUAAUUGUGUGUUUUGUAACAAAAAUAAAUCAUAUAUAUAUAUAUCUAUAUUGAUCUCUGCCGGUCUCUGCCAAUCUCUGCCGAGCGGUGGAGGCUGUGUGCUGUUUUUCAAUCGCCCAAACAGGACGAGACCAGCUGUCCAAUUGCUGACAAGAAUAUCAAAGGGUAGGAAUGGGAAUGUAUCCAAUCAGCGUCGACGUUGUUUCAGAACGUUUCAGAAGCAUGAUGGUUGAUGGAGCUACCGCCAAAGGAUUCGUUGGUGUUCGGUAGAACUCGGCAGAGUCGUUUUUGGUCAUGACGCAGAUGUAACAUGGACGCCGCCGGUGACUACAACCAGCAUGGAUACCGGAUCUCAGCAGCCACUGAAUUCAGUUCGGUCUCUUCUCCAGUAUCUGUUCGAGAGGAGAACUAUGGUGGAAAAACUUAAUGUCAAAGAGCUUGGACCAGAUCAGCCCGACGUAAAGAUAAGCCAGCAGGAGAAGGAGAGAGAUAAGGCAUGGAUGAGUCAGGAGUUACAGACAUGAAACAUUUUUCUGAGAAGGUGAAGAAACACGAGUCACCCCGGGCACACAUGGACAACAACACGGUGAAGCUAGCCGUGCUAGGCAGCAGAGCUAACGUUGCCAUGCAGGGAACAACAGCAGCUGGGUGCAGAGGUUUGUGACACCAUCCUGAGCCAUGCAAAAGAAGAUUCUUGUCACCACAGCCGAAUCAGAAAGGUGCUUUUCUACUUUAAAGAGGAUUAAGACUUUCCUUGAGGAACACCAUGACACAGGAUGGGCUGAAUGCUCUUGCCAUGCUCUCCAUGGAAAAAAAAGCUUGUCACAAACAUUCCUGACUUCAAUAAAAAGCUAAUCGAGAGCUUUGCCACUCAGAAGGACAGAAGGGCAACAUUUCUGUACAAAUGAGGUAACACACACACACACACACACAAAUGCAUCCACUUGAUCUUUGUAUAAAGUUGACCUUGGCACAACACUCCAGAAAUAUUUAACAGUGUAAAGUUCUGGCAUUUUGUCUAAGUGGUGUUUACUACCAUUACUGUAACAGUGACCUGCUCAUAAUUGUUGGUGUUCACUCAAAUGUUGAAAUUAAACAAAAUGUUUUUGUUACUUGCCUCUUGCAUUGCCUAUUUACCAUUUAUGGUCGUGUUAUUUUAUGUGCAAUUUAAUGCAGUAUUUUUCUACCUUGGUCUGAAAGGCAGCGUGCCAAUAGUCAGACACACCUGGAUUAAUCAGUUUGUCCAAUGAUGUGAGACAGGAAAUAAAAGAGCUGUGCUUAAUUCAGGAAAUAGUGAACUUGUGCACAAAGCUCAGAAAGCACAAGUUUAAAAAUAAAAAAAUAGCACAGCCCCACCAAAAAUAUUUUUCACCAGCCGCCACUGCUCCCGAGAGCUCCACAAGCCGGCAGCCGCACAGCAGACAAGCGUCGCUGCGAUCUGAGAUGCGCAGAGCUGCCGCUGGGGAGAACCGGGUGGAAAGGUUUCCACCCCAGAGCUCCACAAGCCGGUAGCCCGCGCAGCAGACAGAAGCCGCGAUCAGACAGAGAUGCACUGAGCUGC